UGACAAGAGCAAUGGAGCCAAGCA
rnacentral:piRNA from 1 species